CCCGGGAGGGCGGAGUUAACCCAACCUCUGCUGGUGCCCGGAGUGGACGACGCGUAGCAAUGUGUUGAGUCCGGACCAGUUCGACCCUGUCCUCAGGGUUAAAGUGUUGAUUUUAAAAUUAGUUUUUAAAUAAUCUUUUACUGUCGCGUAUCGGUUUUGUUCUGCGACGUCGACCAUGAUGCGCUUCCUGCUGCUCUUCAGUCGCCAGGGGAAACUGCGUCUGCAGAAGUGGUUCACACCCAUUUCAGAGCGAGAGAAGAGGAAGAUCAUCAGGGACAUGACCACCAUGGUGUUGGCACGGCAACCCCGCUCCUGUAACUUCCUACACUGGAAAGACCUCAAAAUCAUUUACAAGAGGUAUGCAAGCUUGUAUUUCUGCUUGGCCAUAGACAAUGAUGAGAAUGAGCUCCUAGCCCUGGAGGUUAUUCAUCGUUAUGUGGAGCUGCUGGACAAGUACUUUGGCAAUGUGUGUGAGCUGGACAUAAUCUUUAACUUUGAGAAGGCCUAUUUUAUCCUGGAUGAGUUCCUUAUUGGCGGUGAGAUACAAGAAACCUCCAAACAGAUUGUGAAUCGCUGUAUCGAAGCCUCGGACAUGCUACAGGAGGAUGACAGCAGUGAGUGGUAUGAGGUGGAGCUGUUUGGAUCACCUUGAAUAUGGACAGAAAGGUUAGAUGUGCUUGUGUUAGUCAUCUAUCGUUUGUUGGUGUGCUCAGCACUUUAUGACAGACCAUGGAGGAGUAUAUGAGCAAACCUGCAUUUUAAAUCAUGGAAAAGGGACAUAAAUGGGGGAUGAAUACAGGAACCAAGUGUACUGUGCACGAGUCCAAGACGUUUCUGAAUGUGGAAAACGGGAUUAGCUUUGAUUCUACUGCACAUUUUCAAAGGGAAAAGUUGCCGUCUUGAAUGUCUGCUCCUGCUCUAAGCACCGCGGCAAUAUAACCUGAUUUGAGAGUAAGUGUGUUUGUUCAUAGUUAUGCAUUCAAGUGAAGGAAGGGGUUGGGGAGUAAUGCUUUUAUAUUGAUUAUCAUAAAAAAGUGAAUGAAGUAGUAAUACAGGUCCAGGGAUAUUGGAUAUCUUUGUUCCAAAAACACCAUGUGGACUGUUUGCAUGAAAAUGAUGCAGAAUUUCUGUGAAGUUAUAAAUAAAUAAUUUUACAUUAGCAAAUAACAAAUUAUGAAUGAAAGUAAUUAUGGUAUGUUUCAUAAUGUUUUUACUCUGUAUAAAAUAUUAUUAUUGUGUGGGAUCAUUGGUGUUGAAAAGGAGCCGUUGCUCGUGUGGGUGUGAACAUCACUGUUUUUCAUGAUGUGAAAUGUAUGAUAUUGAAGCUUAUGUUUAAAAUAUGUAUUUUGAUAAAACAGUCUGCUUUGAUUAA